GGGGGUAUAGCUCAGUGGUUGAGUGCUUGCUUAGCAUGCUUAAAACACUGGGUUCCAUUCCCAGCACCACUA
rnacentral:tRNA from 1 species